UGUCAAUAGAAGCACAGGAUUCAGAUGG
rnacentral:piRNA from 1 species